UAACUUACAGUGCGAUGUAUUAGCGACACAGUCUGGCCUGCCAGAGCGCGCACUUGCUUGCAUUUCAUAGCGCGCUCGUUCCGAUCGGCUGGGAUGAAAGCUUACACGAUAUGUGCGAGCAGCUGUAUCCGUUGAUAUAAUCGGUGAGCAAAGUCAUGCACAGUUGCGAUGUGCUGUGAACUUUUAGCACGCUCGGCGACCCAGCUCGGCGAACCUGCUCUACGCUCCUCGCUGGCGGGGGGAGGGUUUCCUGCACCGCCCCCCUUCUGCGCGCUUCACGACACGCCUGCGGGGGGAGGGAAACCCUCCCCCCUGCACCCCCCUCCCCCAGCUUCCUAAGUGACGUGCCUCAGCGGCGGGCUAAGCGAAUCGUAUGGGAGGGGGGUGCAGGGGGGAGGGUGUCCCUCCCCCCGCUUGAGGGGGGGCGCAGGGGGGGGCACCCCCCCGCUAAUUUGCAUAUCGAUCAGGAGAGCCCCCCCCCCUGACAUCGACUACAACAAACGUCGAUGCAGGCCACGAUCGGUCGGCACUGAUAGCUGGGCGCAGGGGCUAAGUUUUGCGUUAGUUCCCCCGAGUCCCGUGAGCCGCACGUGGGCUCUGAGCCUCCCGCUGGCGGCGUGGGCAGGCGUGGGUAGCCGCGCUGAGGAUGUCGCAGCAGUGUGCUGUUACUUUGUAACGGAAUGCCGCC
rnacentral:lncRNA from 1 species